AAGUCGAACGAGAAAGUGGAGCAAUCCAUGAGUACAGUGGCGACCGGGUGAGUAACACGUGACUAACCUACCUUCGAGUGGGGGAUAACCUCGGGAAACCGAGGCUAAUACCGCAUAACAUCGUGAGAUCAAAGCAGCAAUGCGCUGGAAGAGGGGGUCGCGGCUGAUUAGCUAGUUGGCGGGGUAACGGCCCACCAAGGCGAAGAUCGGUAGCCGGCCUGAGAGGGCGCACGGCCACACUGGAACUGAAACACGGUCCAGACUCCUACGGGAGGCAGCAGUGGGGAAUUUUGCGCAAUGGGGGAAACCCUGACGCAGCAACGCCGCGUGGAGGAUGAAGCCCCUUGGGGCGUAAACUCCUUUCGACCAAGACGAUAAUGACGGUACUGGUGGAAGAAGCACCGGCUAACUCUGUGCCAGCAGCCGCGGUAAUACAGAGGGUGCGAGCGUUGUUCGGAAUUAUUGGGCGUAAAGGGCGCGUAGGCGGCGCAGCAAGUCACUUGUGAAAUCUCCAAGCUUAACUUGGAGCCUGCAGGCGAAACUGCUGUGCUG
rnacentral:rRNA from 1 species